CUUGAGGGAGCCCAGCCACACCGGCUGCCCCUGCGGGCGGCUCUCGCCGUAGGUGGCGAUCAGCGCCUGCGCCUC
rfam:Streptomyces zinciresistens K42 contig00003, whole genome shotgun sequence.